GAUGAACGCUAGCGGCGGGCCUAAUACAUGCAAGUCGAGCGGGAAAGGUGGCAACACCUUGAGAGUGGCGUACGGGUGCGUAACGCGUAUACAACCUGCCUGUUACACGGGGAUAGCCUUGCGAAAGCGAGAUUAAUACCCGAUGGUACUAUUGAGCGGCAUCGCUUGGUAGUUAAAGCUGAGGCGGUAACAGAGGGGUAUGCGUCCCAUUAGCUAGUUGGUAGUGUAACGGACUACCAAGGCGACGAUGGGUAGGGGUUCUGAGAGGAUGAUCCCCCACACUGGUACUGAGAUACGGACCAGACUCCUACGGGAGGCAGCAGUAGGGAAUAUUGGGCAAUGGACGGAAGUCUGACCCAGCCACGCCGCGUGCAGGAAGAAGGUCCUCUGGAUUGUAAACUGCUUUUCUUGGGGAAGAAAACCCUUCUGCGGAAGGAAUUGACGGUACUCAAGGAAUAAGCAUCGGCUAACUCCGUG
rnacentral:rRNA from 1 species